rnacentral:rRNA from 1 species
AAUAUUGGACAAUGGGGGCAACCCUGAUCCAGCCAUGCCGCGUGUGUGAAGAAGGUCUUCGGUUUGUAAAGCACUUUAAGUUGGGAGGAAGGGCUUUAGGUUAAUCCUCUGAAGUUUUGACGGUACCAACAGAUUAAGCACCGGCUAACUCUGUGCCAGCCGCCGCGGUAAUAAAGAGGGUGCAGGCGUUAAACGGAAUUACUGGGCGUAAAGCGCGCGUAGGUGGUUCAGUAAGAUGGGUGUGAAAUCCCCGGGCUUAACCGGGGAACUGCUUUCAUAACUGCUGAGCUAGAGUACGGUAGAGGGUAGUGGAAUUUCCUGUGUAGCGGUGAAAUGCGUAGAUAUAGGAAGGAACACCAGUGGCGAAGGCGACUACCUGGACUGAUACUGACACUGAGGUGCGAAAGCGUGGGGAGCAAA